rnacentral:rRNA from 2 species
AGGUGCGAUCUUACUAGCACUAUUGCACGUAAUCCCAUUACAACUCCGUAGUUAAGCGCGCAUGGGCGAGAGUACUAUUAGGAUGGGUGACCUCCUAGGAAUUCCUCGUGUUGCACCUG